GAUGAACGCUGGCGGCGUGCUUAACACAUGCAAGUCGAACGGGAAACCUUUUAUUGAAGCUUCGGCAGAUUUAGCUGGUUUCUAGUGGCGGACGGGUGAGUAACGCGUGGGUAACCUGCCUUAUACAGGGGGAUAACAACCAGAAAUGGUUGCUAAUACCGCAUAAGCGCACAGGACCGCAUGGUCCGGUGUGAAAAACUCCGGUGGUAUAAGAUGGACCCGCGUUGGAUUAGCUAGUUGGCAGGGUAACGGCCUACCAAGGCGACGAUCCAUAGCCGGCCUGAGAGGGUGAACGGCUACAUUGGGACUGCGACACGGCCCAGACUCCUACGGGAGGCAGCAGUGGGGAAUAUUGCACAAUGGGGGAGCCCCUGAUGCAGCGACGCCGCGUGAAGGAAGAAGUAUCUCGGUAUGUAAACUUCUAUCAGCAGCGAAGAUAGUGACGGUACCUGACUAAGAAGCCCCGGCUAACUACGUG
rnacentral:rRNA from 1 species